GACGAACGCUGGCGGCGUGCCUAAUACAUGCAAGUUGAGCGGACAAAGAGGAGCUUGCUCCUCGAUGUUAGCGGCGGACGGGUGAGUAACACGUGGGCAACCUGCCUGUAAGACUGGGAUAACUUCGGGAAACCGGAGCUAAUACCGGAUAAUGCUUUUGAACUCAUGUUCGAAAGCUGAAAGAUGGUUUCGGCUAUCACUUACAGAUGGGCCCGCGGCGCAUUAGCUAGUUGGUGAGGUAACGGCUCACCAAGGCAACGAUGCGUAGCCGACCUGAGAGGGUGAUCGGCCACACUGGGGCUGAGACACGGCCCAGACUCCUACGGGAGGCAGCAGUAGGGAAUCUUCUGCAAUGGACGAAAGUCUGACGGAGCAACGCCGCGUGAGUGAUGAAGGUUUUCGGAUCGUAAAACUCUGUUGUUAGGGAAGAACAAGUACCGGAGUAACUGCCGGUACCUUGACGGUACCUAACCAGAAAGCCACGGCUAACUACGUG
rnacentral:rRNA from 1 species